rnacentral:piRNA from 1 species
UGACCAGUGCUCAGCCCAGCUGGCCACGCUCU